rnacentral:rRNA from 1 species
GAUGAACGCUAGCGGCAGGCCUAACACAUGCAAGUCGAGGGGCAGCACAGGUAGCAAUACUGGGUGGCGACCGGCGGAUGGGUGCGUAACGCGUAUGCAACCUACCAUUGAUUGGGGCAUAGCCCGAAGAAAUUCGGAUUAAUACUCCAUAAUAUUCAUCAAAGGCAUCUUUUAUGAAUUAAAGCUUUUGCGAUCAAUGAUGGGCAUGCGUGACAUUAGUUAGUUGGUGAGGUAACGGCUCACCAAAACGAUGAUGUCUAGGGGUUCUGAGAGGAUUAUCCCCCAACUGGUACUGAGACACGGACCAGACUCCUACGGGAGGCAGCAGUGAGGAAUAUUGGUCAAUGGACGCAAGUCUGAACCAGCCAUGCCGCGUGCAGGAUGACGGCCCUAUGGGUUGUAAACUGCUUUUCCACGGGAAGAACCCUCCGACGUGUCGGAGACUGACGGUACCGUGGGAAUAAGCAUCGGCUAACUCCGUGCC